rnacentral:rRNA from 1 species
GGAGGUAGUGACAAUAAAUCACAAUGCGGAACAAUGUUUUGCAAUUGGAUUGAGAACAACGUACAAACCUUAUCGAUAAACAAUUGGAGGGCAAGUCUGGUGCCAGCAGCCGCGGUAAUUCCAGCUCCAAUAGCGUAUAUUAACGUUGUUGCAGUUAAAAAGCUCGUAGUUGAAAUGAAGGGUAGUUGUGUAAUGAAUACAUUCGUGUAUUUUGUUAUUCAACUACCCUCCUUCUAAAUUCGAUAUAUGAGUAUUAAUUUACUUGUAUAUGGUUUUAGACGUUUACUGUGAGAAAAUUAGAGUGUUCAAAGCAGGCAUUUGCUUGAAUAUAUUAGCAUGGAAUAAUCAUGUAUGAUUUUCAUGAUGUAUUUGAUUGGUUUGGUUCAUGAGAAUAAGAUUAAAAGGGACAGUUGGGGGUAUUCAUAUUCAAUAGUCAGAGGUGAAAUUCUCGGAUUUAUGGAAGAUGAACAAGUGCGAAAGC